rnacentral:rRNA from 1 species
GGACGAAAAGACCCCGUGCACCUUCACUACAGCUUAACGUUGGUAUUGGGUAAAUGAUGUGUAGGAUAGGUGGGAGACAUUGAAGCGGGUUCGCCAGGAUUCGUGGAGUCACUGUUGAAAUACCACCCUUUAUUUACUUGGUAUCUAACCCUGUUAGACAGGGGACAUUGUUUGGUGGGUAGUUUGACUGGGGUGGUCGCCUCCUAAAGAGUAACGGAGGCGCGCGAAGGUUCCCUCAGGCUGUUUGGAAAUCAGCCGUAGAGUGUAAAGGCAGAAGGGAGCUUGACUGCGAGACCUACAAGUCGAGCAGGUAGGAAACUAGGUCUUAGUGAUCCGGUGGCCCCGAAUGGAAGGGCCAUCGCUCAUCGGAUAAAAGGUACUCCGGGGAUAACAGGCUGAUCUCCCCCAAGAGCUCAUAUCGACGGGGAGGUUUGGCACCUCGAUGUCGGCUCGUCACAUCCUG